rnacentral:tRNA from 1 species
GCUUUCGUGGCGUAGUGGUCAAUACGCUGGGCCCGUAUUCCAGAGGUCCGUGGUUCGAGUCCCGAUGAAGGUG